rnacentral:rRNA from 1 species
AGCUCUUUCAUUAAGGAGGAAAAUGACAGUACUUAAAAAAGAAGUUCCGGCUAAUACCCGUGCCAGCAGACGCGGUAAUACGGGAGGAGCGAGCAUUAUUCGGAAUGAUUAGGCGUAAAGAGUUUGUAGGUGGUUUUUUAAGUUGAAAGAAACAAAUUAAAGCUCAACUUUAUACAUUUUUUCAAAACUGAUAAACUAGAGUAUAAAUAGAGGAUAAUGGAAUUUCUAUUGGAGUGAUAAAAUACGUUGAUAAUAGAAGGAAGGCCUAUGGCGAAGGCAAUUAUCUGGGUAUAUACUGACACUGAGAAACGAAAGCUUGGGUAGCGAACGGGAUUAGAUACCCCGGUAGUCCAUGCCGUAAACGAUGAGUGCUAAUAUUUAGAAUUUUUAGAUAUAACAGCUAACGCGUUAAGCACUCCGCCUGAAAAGUAUAAUCGCAAGAUUGAAAUUCAAAGGAAUUGACGGGAGUCUACACAAGCGGUGGAGCAUGUGGUUUAAUUCGAUAAUACGCGCAAAACCUUACCAACUCUUGCUAAUUUUUAUAUAAAAUUUUAUAUAAAAAACAGGUGUUGCAUGGCUGUCGUCAGCUCGUGUUGUGAAAUGUUUGGUUAAAUCCUUUAACGAGCGCAACCCCUAUUGUUAGUUGCUAAUUUAUUAAAAUAAAAUAAAAGAACUUUAACAAAAAGAUUAAUGAUAGGUUAAUGGAAGAUGGGGAUGACGUCAAGUCUUUAUGGCCCUUAUGAGUUGGGCUACACACGUGCUACAAUGAUAAUCACAAUGAGAAGCAAUAAUGUUAAGUUGGAGCAAAUCUUUAAAAAUUAUCUUAGUUCGGAUUAAGGGCUGAAACUCGCCCUUAUGAAGUUGGAAUCGCUAGUAAUCGCAAAACAGCAUGUUGCGGUGAAUAUGUUACUGGACUUUGUACACACCGCCCGUCACAUCAGGGAAGUUAAUUAUUUUUAAAAUGAUUUUAAUGUAUUUAAUAAUUUUAAAUAACUAUUUAAUUAAAAUAAUUUAUAAUUUAAUUUAAAUAAAUUAAAAUACUUAGAAAGUAAUUAGUAACUUUGAUGAAGUCGUAACAAGGUAGUCGUAGGGGAACCUGUGUCUG